CGCACAUUGCGCCCCUUGGUAUUCCGGGGGGCAUGCCUGUUCGAGCGUCAUUUCAACCCUCAAGCUCUGCUUGGUGUUGGACCCGUGCCAGCGAUGGCAGGUCCCAAAACCAGUGGCGGUGCCGUUGGGUCCUGAGCGUAGUAAUACUCCUCGCUACUGGACUCCCGCGUGCGUCUUGCCAUAACCCCCCAUUUUUUCCAGGUUGACCUCGGAUCAGGUAGGGAUACCCGCUGAACUUAA
rnacentral:misc_RNA from 1 species